rnacentral:snoRNA from 15 species
GUGCCCUUUUAAGGUUGACUCAGUGCUUUAAGAAGCUAACACAGAAGGGAAAAGUCUCCAUAAAAUGCAGAGAGGAGAUUGUAAAACUCCCCUUUGGAUCCUGUCUGGAAUCAUAGCU